rnacentral:lncRNA from 1 species
UGAAAUUAGUAAUCUGCUUCGGCUUAGGGCAUUUGGAGCCCAAGAAAAUCCAACAUGAGAGUGAAGGGGUCUGUGUUUACUCAUUCUCACAAUCUCAUUUCAACUUGGGGCAACCGUUAGGUCAUGAUUGAAAGGUCAUGAUUACAUGAUGAUUGAAGGAUUUUAUAGAGUGGUGAGCUUGUAACAGAAUCGGGCAGCUUGGGGCAACCGUUAGGGCAAGCUAAGUUGAUGUUAAUUUCUCUGGUGUAAGUUGGGUAAGUGUUAAUAACACUAUUAGAUUCAGUUAAAUAGUUGUGUUAGAAAGUUAGAGUUAGUUACUUUGAACUCAGUUAGUUAGUGAGGAAGAUGUUAAUUCUUUUAGUGCAAGUUAACUCAGUUAGAAAGGUAAGUUAGUUAUCAUGAAUAAACUCUGUUAAAAAAAUGUUAAGUUUGAUUGUUUAAAUCUGUUAGAGGCUAAUUGAGUUAGUUUGAGUUUAAUUAGAGUGGAUUUUUAGUGAAAAUUAGGUUAAUGUUAAGUUAGUCUGAUGCAGAAAAACUGGCAUGCUCACUGUUGGUUAAAGUUAGCUAUUGGUGCUUUUCCUGAAUUAGAAUGAAGGUACUGCAGUGUUUGAAUAUUGGAUAGUCCUUGGACACAUGAGAAUUUUGUUUGUUAGUUGUAUCUUGGGUGGAAUUAGACUUAACCUAUUGGUAUGUUUGAAUAUUGUUAUGGCUGUUAACUGUUAGAUUAUUUUUGAAUUGAUUUUCAGUUAGAGUUAUGUUAAAAAGAAAGUUAGUGUGUUAACAGUCAACUUUGGUUAGAGCUGUGUUAAAUCAUUUUUGGCUUGAAUUUCAGUUAUGCUAUUUGGUUAUUGAAUGUUAGAGUAAAACAUGGCUGUUAGAAUGAGAUGGAUAGUGUUAAUUUGUGGAUUUAGUUAAUGUGGUUAGGGCUGUUAGUUUAAGUGUAAUUAUUGAAUGAAGGUUUGUUGAAUGAAGAAGUUAGUUGAUCUACUGUUAGUGUUUGCGUGUGGGUUGAUUGAACUAAAUAUGCUCUACUUGAGCUUGUGAUGUUGCUGACUCAAUUAUGAUUUUGCAGGACUUGUUGAGCUUCAUCAUGAGGCAAGCUUUGGAACACGGUUUGCUGCAUCUUGAGGAACCACCGGUUUCAUGAGCUAGACUUUGAAUGCCUGAAAUUGAAUUGAUGGUGUUUGUACAUGGUUCACGGAAGUUUGAUAUGGUGCCCUGGUAGUAUGCAGAACUGAUUUAACUUGAUCUUCAUCAUGCAAUUUAAAGGGGUAAGCUUUUCACUUGUCUCAUUUUAUGUUGAUGAAAUCAUCUUGAUUUUGAUUGCUCUGUCUGUUUUCUUUGCCUCUACCAGUUUCCAUUGCUUGCUAUCAGCUGAGUUUAAUUGCAAUAUAAAUAACUCAUUCUUUCUUUUGUCAUUUCACAUGGAUUGGUGGCUUGUGAUAAUGUGAUCAAACAAUACAAGCUGGUAUAGUUGGAAUUGGAAAUUGGAGUUGUGAUAUCAGUGGCUUUCUUACCUAUGAAGUUACUCAAAGAAAAAUGAAGGUGCAUUGGACUUGAAGUGUGGAGAAUCAAGAACAAGUCAGAUUUUGGGUCAAAGGGGUCAAUGGUCAAUUGUGUUGACCAAAAGUCAACUAUAACAUUUUUUGUACUUUUCUUCAUGUAAACUCGACAGUAACUUUGUGACAAAAUGCUUGUAAUAUUCUUUUGUUAAUGAAACUCUUUUUCCUUCCAAAAUCAAGCUUCUUGUCUUUCUACUUACUUUUUCCAAUCAUCAAUGACUUGAAUCACAAGUAACCAUAAUAUAGAGAGCAAAAACCUAAUUUC